rnacentral:rRNA from 1 species
GACGAACGCUGGCGGCGUGCUUAACACAUGCAAGUCGAACGGAAAGGCCCUGCUUUUGUGGGGUGCUCGAGUGGCGAACGGGUGAGUAACACGUGAGUAACCUGCCCUUGACUUUGGGAUAACUUCAGGAAACUGGGGCUCAUACCGGAUAGGAGCUCCUGCUGCAUGGUGGGGGUUGGAAAGUUUCGGCGGUUGGGGAUGGACUCGCGGCUUAUCAGCUUGUUGGUGGGGUAGUGGCUUACCAAGGCUUUGACGGGUAGCCGGCCUGGGAGGGUGACCGGCCACAUGGGGACUGGGGUACGGCCCAGACGCCUACGGGAGGCAGCAGUGGGGAAUAUUGCACAAUGGGCGGAAGCCGGAUGCAGCAACGCCGCGUGCGGGAGGACGGCCUUCGGGUUGGAAACCGCUUUCGCGUGUGACGAAGCGUGAGUGACGGUAAUGGGGAAAGAAGCACCGGCUAACUACGG